UGGGGAAUAUUGCACAAUGGGCGCAAGCCUGAUGCAGCCAUGCCGCGUGUAUGAAGAAGGCCUUCGGGUUGUAAAGCACUUUCAGCGGGGAGGAAGGCGAUAAGGUUAAUAACCUUGUCGAUUGACGUUACCCGCAGAAGAAGCACCGGCUAACUCCGUGCCAGCAGCCGCGGUAAUACGGAGGGUGCAAGCGUUAAUCGGAAUUACUGGGCGUAAAGCGCACGCAGGCGGUCUGUCAAGUCGGAUGUGAAAUCCCCGGGCUCAACCUGGGAACUGCAUUCGAAACUGGCAGGCUAGAGUCUUGUAGAGGGGGGUAGAAUUCCAGGUGUAGCGGUGAAAUGCGUAGAGAUCUGGAGGAAUACCGGUGGCGAAGGCGGCCCCCUGGACAAAGACUGACGCUCAGGUGCGAGAGCGUGGGGAGCAAACAGG
rnacentral:rRNA from 1 species